rnacentral:lncRNA from 1 species
GAUGGCACGGAGCCUAGGGACUUGAGUAUGCUGAAUAGAUUCUACACUCCUACCCUGAGGUCUAGACUCAAAAACUUACUUUGUAAGCUCAUCUGUUUUAGAUUGCUAUUUACUAUUUAAUUGACUCUCCGUAGACUAAAUAUUUUUCUCACUGGAGAAAACCAAUGCUCUGACCUUGGAUGCCCAUUUUCCAAUCUUAGCUCAAUUUGCAAAUCCUCACUUUAUAUCUUGAAUAUGUUUUUAAGCUUUAUUUAUUUAUUUGUAAGGAUAUUGUAGCUGACAUCAGACACACCAGAAAAGGGCAUCAGUGGUUUCUGGGAAUUGAACUCAGGACCUCUGAAAGAGCAGUCAGUGCUCUUAAUUGCUAAGCCACCUCUCCAGUCCCUUGAAUAUAUUUUUAAAGGACUUUAAGUUUCCUCUUGCUAAUUUAUGACUUUGAAAUUAAAUAACCAUUCUAUUGUGAUCAAAAGAAUGAAACCUCUCAGGAGGUCCAGUAAUAGAAUAAAAGUGUUCAUUAUUCUACAAGAAAUUUUUUAUUAAAGAAAUAAUUAAAUAUCUCUGUCACUGUAUGCAUGUGUGAUUUCAAAAUUGGUUAUUCAUAGUUUCCGGUUUUCCCACUGCAUAGCCGUGACCUCUCAAGAUGAAAUUGUAGGUAGGAAGUAACAGAAUUGCUUGUGUUUUAUCAAAGAAAGUGGAAGUGUAACUCAGACCUCAGGAAAUAACAUUUGACGUUGUUGAUUUCCCCACGAGGUCAAGGAAUCAUUUUAAAAGUCUCCCUUCUCAAGGUGGAAAUUCUGCCUAGAAACUGUUGAGAAUAUUAAAUCCCCUUUUGCUAAUCUUUAUUCAGUUUUCUUCCCUAGGGGAAGAGAAAGCAAAUUACAAAGUAAGUUGUGUGAGCUCCUGCCAAGACACACACACUUCUUUUACCUCCGCAAAAUACAGUGUUCUGAACCACACUCAGGUAGUGCGUCUUCCAAGCAGCCCAGCUGCCUCUCUGUUUUAAGAGCAGCCCUGCUUUGUGAGGAUACGCUAUCUUUAUUUUGACCAAAGUAAGUUUAUAAGUGCUGGCAAGAAAGGCUAACAUAGUCUUUGCGGGUUUUGGAGAGCGAGAAAGGGAAAAUAAUCUUCUUGAAUGUAAUUAUUGUUUACACAGGAGGCCGAAAGCACUUACAAAAUAAAGUUUAAAAAAAAAAAUGUAAACUGGGAGCUACCGUGGAUGAAAAUCUCACUCAGAUUUAAAUUCCUUAUCCAUGCUUCAUUUGUUUGGUUCAUUUAACCACACAAGGAAAACAUUCUAAGGAACAUAGUGUUUUGCGUGCUUUGUUUCCUGAACGUGGAAGAAUGGUGCCAGAAACACAUCUCCAGUCUGCAAAACCAUCAAAUGAAUGUAAGCACGGGUGCCUUUAUUUACUGUGGCUGUCUGGCUCAGGAACUCACUUCUGUUAAUAGAGGUCCGAUUCAGCUCUCGUAACUCAUCUUCAGAGCAGACGUCCUAAUAAGGACUCGUAUUUUCAAGCACACUCCCGCUGUUCUAUUUCUGUUCUUGUCCUUGCCCUCAACUAUAAAUUUUGGGUUUGGCUAAGAUGCAGAUAGACUUCUAGAUUGGCUGGAGAAGGGACAAAAGAAACCGAUGAGAAGAGAAUUGAUACUUAUAUAUAAUGUACUUGUACCUGCAGGUUUUGAGGAUGAAAGUAAAUUUGUUAGGGGUCCUUUAAAGUACAGUACUCAGCAGAACCUAACCAGGGUGUGCGCUGAAAAUCAUUUUAAGUGUACUAAGAUCAUU